rnacentral:rRNA from 1 species
AUAUCAAUAAGCGGAGGAAAAGAAACUAACCAGGAUUCCCCUAGUAACGGCGAGUGAACCGGGAAUAGCCCAGAAUGAAAAUCUCUUCGGAGAAUUGUAGUCUAUAGAAGCGCCCUCUGUGGCGGUGGGAUCCCAAGUCCGGUGGAAGCCGGCGUCAGAGAGGGUGAGAACCCCGUCGGAUCUACACUUAGCUACUCCACGAGGUGCUUUCCACGAGUCGGGUUGUUUGGGAAUGCAGCCCAAAAUGGGAGGUAAAUCCCUUCUAAGGCUAAAUACUGGCGAGAGACCGAUAGCGCACAAGUA